rnacentral:rRNA from 1 species
CAGCAGCCGCGGUAAUACGAAGGGUGCAAGCGUUACUCGGAAUUACUGGGCGUAAAGCGUGCGUAGGUGGUUGUUUAAGUCUGCUGUGAAAGCCCUGGGCUCAACCUGGGAAUUGCAGUGGAUACUGGGCGACUAGAGUAAGGUAGAGGAUAGUGGAAUUUCCGGUGUAGCAGUGAAAUGCGUAGAGAUCGGAAGGAACAUCUGUGGCGAAGGCGACUAUCUGGGCCAUUACUGACACUGAGGCACGAAAGCGUGGGGAGCAAACAGGAUUAGAUACCCCAGUAGUCCCUGUCUCUUAUAA